UUUCCAGUUUGAGAUGUUUAGCUUGAAAAUGGACGAGACAAAACUGGUGGGCAAGGAGGGAGAAGGGAGUUAAGUGGAGAAUUCAGAAGCUCUAUGGUUUUGUCCAAAUGGAUUGCAGCCCUAAUACACGUGCACUCUUGCAUAGUAAAGUGUGUGUGAUGAGAACAUGACCCCUUGGCUACAUAAGCAGGAAAAGUGUGGCACAGAGUGGGCCACCAAAAACAACAUCAUACAGCUUGUGCCCGUCCACUCUCGAAGGAUGCUGAAGGGGAAGCUUUAAGAGCACUAUGACAAGAACAUGCAAGAAGAAGCAUUUUCCCAUUUUUUACCUUCCUUUAUGACAGAUACGGAUGUUUGUGAAAAACAGUCAUCUGUCUGCAAUAAUCAGGUUUCAUGUGCUUAGAAUUAGGUCAACAACGUGAACUCAAGUAUAGCGCUGGCUUGAUUGGCUUAGUGCUGCCUUUCUACUUACGGUAAGCUUCACUUUAUGAAUUUCUUGGUCUUUUUUUAGAGGCAGAGAUUCAAAGAGAAGUUUUUGGCCAAAAAUGUUAUUGUUCAUUUUGAAAUUCACCUUGGUUGGCU
rnacentral:lncRNA from 1 species